UACGUAGGGUGCGAGCGUUAAUCGGAAUUACUGGGCGUAAAGCGUGCGCAGGCGGUUCGUUGUGUCUGAUGUGAAAGCCCCGGGCUCAACCUGGGAAUGGCAUUGGAAACUGGCGAGCUAGAGUGUGGCAGAGGGGGGUGGAAUUCCGCGUGUAGCAGUGAAAUGCGUAGAGAUGCGGAGGAACACCGAUGGCGAAGGCAGCCCCCUGGGCUGACACUGACGCUCAGGCACGAAAGCGUGGGUAGCAAACAGG
rnacentral:rRNA from 1 species